GUGCUCACUGCAGCAGCACAUAUAUGAAAAUUGGAACAAUAGAGAAGAUUAACAUGGCUCCUGCACAAGGAUGACAGCCAAAAUGCCAUUUUGCUCCACUGUUGU